GACGAACGCUGGCGGCGUGCUUAACACAUGCAAGUCGAGCGGUAAGGCCCUUUCGGGGGUACACGAGCGGCGAACGGGUGAGUAACACGUGGGUGACCUGCCUCUAGCUCUGGGAUAAGCCUGGGAAGCUGGGUCUAAUACCGGAUAUGACCUCGCGGUGCAUGUUGCGGGGUGGAAAGCCUUGUGCGGCUAGGGAUGGGCCCGCGGCCUAUCAGCUUGUUGGUGGGGUGAUGGCCUACCAAGGCGACGACGGGUAGCCGGCCUGAGAGGGCGACCGGCCACACUGGGACUGAGACACGGCCCAGACUCCUACGGGAGGCGAGCAGUGGGGAAUCUUGCGCAAUGGGCGAAAGCCUGACGCAGCGACGCCGCGUGAGGGAUGAC
rnacentral:rRNA from 1 species